UCCCUGGCAGUCCAGUGGUUAAGACUUUGCGCUUCCAAUGCAGAGGGCACAGGUUCAAUCCCUGAUCAGGGAA
rnacentral:tRNA from 1 species